CCUACGGGGGGCUGCAGUGAGGAAUAUUGGUCAAUGGACGAGAGUCUGAACCAGCCAAGUAGCGUGAAGGAUGACUGCCCUAUGGGUUGUAAACUUCUUUUAUAUGGGAAUAAAAUGUUCCACGUGUGGGAUUUUGUAUGUACCAUAUGAAUAAGGAUCGGCUAACUCCGUGCCAGCAGCCGCGGUAAUACGGAGGAUCCGAGCGUUAUCCGGAUUUAUUGGGUUUAAAGGGAGCGUAGGGGGAUUGUUAAGUCAGUUGUGAAAGUUUGCGGCUCAACCGUAAAAUUGCAGUUGAAACUGGCAGUCUUGAGUACAGUAGAGGUGGGCGGAAUUCGUGGUGUAGCGGUGAAAUGCUUAGAUAUCACGAAGAACUCCGAUUGCGAAGGCAGUUCACUGGACUGCAACUGACACUGAGGCUCGAAAGUGUGGGUAUCAAACAGGAUUAGAUACCCUAGUAGUC
rnacentral:rRNA from 1 species